CACAGUAAAUGGAUUCAUAAUAAUGGGCUUUAGUGACCACCCCAAGUGAGAGAUUGCCCUAUUUCUGGUAUUUCUUAGAUUUAUCUUGUCACUAUCCUGGAAGACUUGGGCAUGGUCAUUUUUAUCCAUGUAGAUGUCCAACUCCACAUCCCAAUGUACUUCUUUCUGAGCCACCUCUCUGUGUUGGAUGCCUGCUAUACCUCAGUCAUCACCCCUCAGAUACUGGCAAC
rnacentral:lncRNA from 1 species